AGGAAAUAAGAAUAAGAGUGUGGUUUUGGCCAGCACCGCCAUACAGCUGCUGGAUGACAGGAAGUCGCCUAUUGUUGCUUCCGUUGGGAUUCAGAUGAAGCUGGAUUUCUUUCAGAGGAAGUUCUGGACCGCUAGCAGACAGUGUGCUGCUCUGGAUGGGAAGUGCACCAUCAGCUGUGAUAAUGAGG